UGGAAAGUGUAAAUGCCAAAACCAUGGAGUAACAGUGAGCAACAAAUACAAAAGGAAUAUUCCAGAAUACUUCUUCAAUUGCCAUAGAGCUACCUCUCUUCCUACUAUAUAAACCGUGUUCUCCUUCAUUUAACAUCACACCGCAGCACCAUCAUCAUCUUCUUCUUCAGGCUUCUUAUAUUUCUCAUCAUCAUCUUCUUCUUCAGUCUCUCAAUAUAGAAAGACAAUUAUACAGGGAAAUGGCGGACUCUUCAACUUCAACAUCACAGUCCAACCAUACCGUAAUAUCCAAUGCAGAUCCUGUGAAUGCUCCUGACCUUUCCUUUUUACAAGAAGAAUUUUUACAAGAAAAUGCUAAAAAUGAGCUUGGAAGACUCUCCAACAAACGAUAGAACUGGACCAAGAAAUUAGCACGAAGAAAUGCCAUCAGCAGUGCAAGAACGCUCGUCCUAGGAGAGCGGACGCUCGCCCAGAAGGCAGAAGAGCGGACGCUCGUCCAGAGUGGAAGCACGAGCGGACGCUCGUCCAUGAGCUGGAGGACGUUCGUCCCAGAUUGAGGACGCUCGUCCAGUCAAGCGGACGCUCGUCCAAGGAAGGAGGACGCUCGUCCCAGGACAGUGGACGUUCGUCCAGGCAGGACGCUCGUCCGAGGACACUCGUCCCAGAAGCGGGCGGUCGUCCAGAGGAGAGGACGUUCGUCCCAGGCAGAGGGCGCUCGUCCAGCCAGGCAGAAGUGGACGCUCGUCCAGCCAGCAGAGGACGCUCGUCCAGAACGCUCGUCCAGGAAGGAGGACGCUCGGCCAGAUUGAAGGACGUUCGUCCAAAUGCGAGAGGCUCGCGCUUGGGCGCGAGAACAGAGGGGCGCCCGGGCGCGACUUUUCGCCAGUUUUCAAUUUUUCCAGAGAGUCUCGCGCCCGGGCGCGACUGACAGAGGGCGCCGGGCGCGACUUUUGCUGAUGUGUCUAUUUAACCCUAAAACGCAAAGGGGAAAUGGUCUUUGGUCAUUUGGAGGCGCAAUUUCACAGCUGGAGCUCAUGGAGGGCGUGAGGAGCUUGUGGGAACAUCUCCUCCUCUUCCUUUGGGUCUCCUUCUUCUUCCAUCUUCCAUGUUGUAAGCUUUAAGGUUCUCCAUGGAAAUGGAGAACCAAACCCAUCUUGUUGGGAUUAGUUGUAGCCUUUGAAUUCUUGUGUAAUUGUUGAAUGAUUUGAUUAUAUAUAUGCCUUUUCUAUCAA